AACGAACGCUGGCGGCGUGGAUAAGACAUGCAAGUCGAGCGAGAUUUUUUCUUGUAGCAAUACGAGGAAAAGUCUAGCGGCGAACGGGUGCUUAACACGUGGGCAACCUGCCAAGAAGUGGGGGAUAGCUCGCCGAAAGGCGAAUUAAUACCGCAUGUGAUCAGAGUGGACAUCCAUUCAAAAUUAAAGUCGGGGCAACCUUACGCUUCUUGAGGGGCCCGCGGCCUAUCAGCUAGUUGGUGAGGUAACGGCCCACCAAGGCUUUGACGGGUAGCUGGUCUGAGAGGACGACCAGCCACACUGGGACUGAGACACGGCCCAGACACCUACGGGUGGCAGCAGUCGAGAAUUUUUCUCAAUGGGGGAAACCCUGAAGAAGCGACGCCGCGUGGAGGAUGAAGGUCUUCGGAUUGUAAACUCCUGUCAUUGGGGAACAAUGCGUAAGUAUUAACUGUAUUUGCGUUGAUAGUACCCGAAGAGGAAGAGACGGCUAACUCUGUGCCAGCCGCCGCAGUAA
rnacentral:rRNA from 1 species